rnacentral:rRNA from 1 species
UACGAAGGGUGCAAGCGUUAUUCGGAGUUACUGGGCGUAAAGAGCGCGUAGGCGGUUUAUUAAGUCAUUUGUUAAAUCUCCCGGCUUAACCGGGAACAUGCACGUGAUACUGGUAAACUAGAGUGUAAGAGAGAGAAGUGGAAUUCUCGGAGUAGCGGUAAAAUGCGUAGAUCUCGAGAGGAACACCAGAGGCGAAGGCGGCUUCUUAGCUUACAACUGACGCUCAAGUGCGAAAGCGUGGGGAG